rnacentral:rRNA from 1 species
AGAGUUUGAUCCUGGCUCAGGAUGAACGCUAGCGGCAGGCUUAACACAUGCAAGUCGAGGGGUAACAGGGUGCUUGCACCGCUGACGACCGGCGCACGGGUGCGUAACGCGUAUACAAUCUACCUUGUAGAGGGAGAUAGCCCGGGGAAACCCGGAUUAAUACCCCAUAGUACUUAGAGACAGCAUUGUUUUUAAGUUAAACAUUUAUGGCUACAAGAUGAGUAUGCGUCCUAUUAGUUAGUUGGUGAGGUAACGGCUCACCAAGACUGCGAUAGGUAGGGGUCCUGAGAGGGAGAUCCCCCACACUGGUACUGAGACACGGACCAGACUCCUACGGGAGGCAGCAGUGAGGAAUAUUGGACAAUGGGCGGGAGCCUGAUCCAGCCAUGCCGCGUGCAGGAAGACGGCCCUAUGGGUUGUAAACUGCUUUUAUACGGGAAGAAACACCUCUUCGUGAAGAGGCUUGACGGUACCGUAAGAAUAAGGAUCGGCUAACUCCGUGCCAGCAGCCGCGGUAAUACGGAGGAUCCAAGCGUUAUCCGGAAUCAUUGGGUUUAAAGGGUCCGUAGGCGGGAUAAUAAGUCAGUGGUGAAAGUCUGCAGCUCAACUGUAGAAUUGCCAUUGAUACUGUUGUUCUUGAGUGUUUAUGAAGUGGUUAGAAUAUGUAGUGUAGCGGUGAAAUGCAUAGAUAUUACAUAGAAUACCGAUUGCGAAGGCAGAUCACUAAUAAAAUACUGACGCUGAUGGACGAAAGCGUAGUAGCGAACAGGAUUAGAUACCCUGGUAGUCUACGCCGUAAACGAUGGUUACUAGCUGUUUGGUCUUCGGACUGAGUGGCUAAGCGAAAGUGAUAAGUAACCCACCUGGGGAGUACGUUCGCAGAAUGAACUCAAGGAAUUGACGGGGGCCCGCACAAGCGGUGG